UGUACGUUUUGUUAGUUUGUUUUUUCGUUUCAUUCCAAAUACGGAAUACGGAAAUCACGUGGUUUUUUCGUUUUCCGUUUGAAAACCAAAAACGGAAUACCACCUCCGUAUUUCGUUUCUGCUGUCUGAAACCAAAAACAACAGAACGGAAAUGCUUAAAAUGAAGUCAAAAUAAAAGCCAGUGAUACAUAUUCGUAUUGACCUUAGAAGAAUAUUAAUUAAUCAAUAUAAAGAAUAAAGAAUUAAACGGGGAUAUUUUAACGAUGCAAACACAUAGCAGGGUAACGUUAGAAGAAUAUUAAUUUGUCAAUAUAAAGAAUAAAUAAUUAAACCUGGAUAUGUUAGCGACAGUGGUGACGACGGGAAGUUUAAUAUUCAUGUACACAGCAAGAAUCACCUUCUCACUUCAUCGUUGCAUUGUUUGAUGCAACACAGUUAAUCAACAUGUAAUUAAAUAACUAUUUCACACUUUCAUUAAUUAUUCAGAAUGGUUAACUGAAGAUAUUGAAAUGUGUGAAAGUAAGUUAGUCUGGGGGGGCGGGGAAAAUAUUUGUUUAUCAAGAAUCUGAAAAUGUCUCUAUUUUGCAAUGACAGAAUCACAGAAUCGAGAGAAUCUGGCCAGAAAUUAACAACCGAGUUAACUACCCGUUGAAAGCUGCAUUGGUCCAACUGGUGGAUCAGGAGGAGCUGGACAUGGAGGACCAGAUGACUCGGUUCUGUGUGUCAUCUUUGACAUGCCAGUUGGCCCAGAUCGGUGUUAACCGAACUGUGCAAGCAUGGAAUGCACACAGGAUUCCUGGGAGGGGGAUACCAAAUUACUUGGCCAGAGAUGGAUGCCCAAAGAAGCUGUCGACAGACCUUUUGCCAAAUGCAUCUGUGGCUGCAGACUGGUACGACCAGGAAGUGGGGUCACUGACACGAGUGUCAGACUUUGGCACCAACCCAUUUCCAAGUUUACAGGACCAGGAAGCUGCAGUGAGGGAAUUUGCUCUGCAGUGCCCUGAUACAAGUGUCCUGCUGGACAAUGCAGUGAAUAAUCUGCCACAACCGUUCAAAGAUGGACUCAAAGGCCUCAUCGACAUCUCAAGGAGAAAUUGCCAACGCUGAUGUUUUUUUGUGUGUCUAAGUUGUUAUUGUCUGUGCUUUUUAAUUGGUUCAACUGACGGAAUGUUUUUUUCUUUUCUUCAAAUGUUGGGGGUCUAAAGGGAGAAAUAUUUUCUUUUUGAAUAAACACUUCUGUUGUCUUCAAAGUC